rnacentral:rRNA from 1 species
CAGCCGCCGCGGGAAUACGUAGGUGGCAAGCGUUGUCCGGAAUUAUUGGGCGUAAAGGGUGCGUAGGCGGUUUGAUAAGUCUUGUGUGAAAUCUAUGGGCUCAACCCAUAGUCUGCAUAGGAAACUGUCGGGCUUGAGAGUGGGAGAGGUGAGUGGAAUUUCCGGUGUAGCGGUGAAAUGCGUAGAUAUCGGAAGGAACACCUGUGGCGAAAGCGGCUCACUGGACCAUUUCUGACGCUGAUGCACGAAAGCUAGGGGAGCAAACAGGAUUAGAUACCCGGGUAGUCCCUGUCUCUUAUAC